UGUGGGGCCACCAACACUCCAACCAUGGCCACCAAGGGAUCCCACCAGGAGUGAAGGAAAGGCACAGCCUGUCCAAGAGCUUUGAGGAAAGCCUCCACACCUGCCACAGCCCAAGAGGAACCUGAGUUUGUCAUCACUGCACAUCCCAGACUCAAGCAGGAGCAAGAUUGGAGGUUUAGAGUGUGGUUUCCCAGCCUGGUAUUCGCUGUGGUUUGGAGCAUUUCCAGCCAGAGACUCAGCUGGUACCGAGUGUGGAGCGCUGGAGUGUGAACUCAAUAAGGCAGCAGCGAAGGCAGGCACGUGGAAUGGGAUGGGAUCUGAUGGGAUGGGAUCUAAUGGGAUGGGAUGUAAUGGGAU